UGGGGAAUAUUGGACAAUGGGCGAAAGCCUGAUCCAGCCAUGCCGCGUGUGUGAAGAAGGUCUUCGGAUUGUAAAGCACUUUAAGUUGGGAGGAAGGGCAGUAAGCGAAUACCUUGCUGUUUUGACGUUACCGACAGAAUAAGCACCGGCUAACUCUGUGCCAGCAGCCGCGGUAAUACAGAGGGUGCAAGCGUUAAUCGGAAUUACUGGGCGUAAAGCGCGCGUAGGUGGUUCGUUAAGUUGAAUGUGAAAGCCCCGGGCUCAACCUGGGAACUGCAUCCAAAACUGGCGAGCUAGAGUAGGGCAGAGGGUGGUGGAAUUUCCUGUGUAGCGGUGAAAUGCGUAGAUAUAGGAAGGAACACCAGUGGCAAAGGCGACCACCUGGGCUCAUACUGACACUGAGGUGCGAAAGCGUGGGGAGCAAACAGG
rnacentral:rRNA from 1 species